GGUUGGACAGAUUGCAUCUGAUUCCAAGAGAUUUUUGGUUUCUGGGGUGGGAAACU
rnacentral:ncRNA from 12 species